rnacentral:rRNA from 1 species
AAAUGCGUAGAUAUUAGGAGGAACACCAGUGGCGAAGGCGGCUUACUGGACAGUAACUGACGUUGAGGCUCGAAAGCGUGGGGAGCAAACAGGAUUAGAUACCCUGGUAGUCCACGCCGUAAACGAUGAUUACUAGGUGUUGGUGGGUAUGACACAUCGGUGCCGCAGCAAACGCAAUAAGUAAUCCACCUGGGGAGUACGUUCGCAAGAAUGAAACUCAAAGGAAUUGACGGGGACCCGCCCAAGCGGUGGAGCAUGUGGUUUAAUUGGAAGCAACGCGAAGACCCUUACCUGGUCUUGACAUCCUUAUGAAUAUCGGGCAAUGCCGUUAGUACUUCGGUCCAUAGGAGCCAGGUGGUGCAUGGUGGUCGUCAGCUCGUGUCGUGAGAUGUUGGGUUAAGUCCCGCAACGAGCGCAACCCUUAUCUUUAGUAGCCACCAGUAAGAUGGGCGCUCUAGAGAGACUGCCGGGGAUAACCCGGAGGAAGGUGGGGAUGACGUCAAAUCAUCAUGCCCCUUAUGACCAGGGCUACACACGUGCUACAAUGGCGUAAGCAAAGAGAAGCGAAGUCGUGAGGCAGAGCGAAUCUCAAAAAUAACGUCUCAGUUCGGAUUGUAGUCUGCAACUCGACUACAUGAGGCUGGAAUCGCUAGUAAUCGCAGAUCAGAAUGCUGCGGUGAAUACGUUCCCGGGUCUUGUACACACCGCCCGUCACAGCAUGGGAGUCGGAAAUGCCCGAAGUCGGUGACCUAACCGAAAGGAAGGAGC